GACGAACGCUGGCGGCGUGCUUAACACAUGCAAGUCGAACGAAGAGCGAUGGAAGCUUGCUUCUCUCAAUCUUAGUGGCGCACGGGUGAGUAACGCGUAAUCAACCUGCCCUUCAGAGGGGGACAACAGUUGGAAACGACUGCUAAUACCGCAUACGAUCUAAUCUCGGCAUCGAGGAUAGAUGAAAGGUGGCCUCUACAUGUAAGCUAUCACUGAAGGAGGGGAUUGCGUCUGAUUAGCUAGUUGGAGGGGUAACGGCCCACCAAGGCGAUGAUCAGUAGCCGGUCUGAGAGGAUGAACGGCCACAGUGGGACUGAGACACGGCCCAGACUCCUACGGGAGGCAGCAGUGGGGAAUCUUCCGCAAUGGACGAAAGUCUGACGGAGCAACGCCGCGUGAGUGAUGACGGCCUUCGGGUUGUAAAGCUCUGUUAAUCGGGACGAAAGGCCUUCUUGCGAAUAGUGAGAAGGAUUGACGGUACCGGAAUAGAAAGCCACGGCUAACUACGUG
rnacentral:rRNA from 1 species